UUUUAAGGGAAAAUUUUCCAGAUAUGCUGGAUUGAGAAUAUCACUGGUCAGUUAGUGCCGUUCGUCUGGUUUUAAUGGCAGCUGAUGCGCUUUGGAGGCCUAUGGUGGUUUGGUCAUUUGUUUCGGGAAAAUGUUUUCCCAAGCCCUCUGUACAUAACAAUAGGGUGACUUAUGAAGAACUACUUGUGAUUCAUGCUGUGAAUAAGCAUUGCUAGUUAGAAUAACUGCCCUACAAAAAUCACACAUUUUACUGGAUGCUUAAGUAUUGAACUAGUAUGUUGCUUGGCAAUACUAUCUUGUCUGACAUAACAUUUCUCUUAAUUUGUGGAUAUGACAUUACUUUUGAUUCAUUGGACAAGACAUUUCUUUCAAUGUGAUGCAGAAACUUGAUAAACCAAACUGAGCAACUUUAUUCAUGCAGGCUGAUCAGAUGCAGAUCUAAUUAAGACCUACAAUGUAAUAGAACAGCAAACAACCAAGAAUUAUCCAAACAAAAGAUUUCCAAUACUACUUAUUCUGAAUCCCAUAAAACUACUACCUAGUAACUAUUGUUUAAACAGUAACUGACACGCAUUAGUCAUAUUUAGGCAUAAAUACUAGUAGUCAGCACAACUUUUGCCCUGUCUUGCUUAGCGGAGUGCAGAAAUAAGGCCAGGGUUUCUGGAGUUCAGAUGAUCCCAUGUUUUCUUUGCAUAGCCACUUAUUAAUAGCACCCUCACAAUAUAAUUUAAAGUAUUUUAAGAAUCCAUACUUGAAGAAAAAAAAGGAUAGUGGCCCAGUCCAGGCACUAAAAAUACUGCUCGGGGAAUCCGUUUGCACAGUUGAAUAUAAUAGCAAAGAUUAAAUGACGUAAUGAGACUUAAAAAUACAUCCUCUGCGUGUCCGUCUUAUUGUUCCCAUAGAUUCAAUAUGCAUUAAUAUCUUUCCAUGUUGAUGAUGCAUAUUCACUCCUCUGGUGGUUUCUUCUUUGCCUCCACGUCCUUCUUAAAAGCUUCUAUCUUCUUCGCAAUGUUGGGUACCUUAAACAGAGUAGAUGCCAAACUGAAGAGUUCAAUGUGCUUGUCAAACAUGCCAAAAGGGGAACCGCUAACUUGCUUAGCUAGCAUUUGUAAACAAUUCUUACUGAGACCUCUUAGGUAAUAAUGCUAGUUUCCUUAACGUUACCUCAUAGUUUUGAGCAAGGUACAUCCCAACAACGUUCCCCAAGGUAAACCCAGCCUGCAA
ensembl:lncRNA